rnacentral:rRNA from 1 species
AUCGAACGCUGGCGGCAUGCCUAAUACAUGCAAGUCGAGCGAGCGGCGGACGGGUGCGUGAUGCUUGGGCAUUGCCCAGUCGAGGGGGAUAACAGUUGAAAACGAGUGCCAAUUCCUCAUACGGCUUGAUUGCCCAGGGGGGAUUAGCUAGUUGGUGAGGUAAUGGCUCACCAAGGCGACGAUCCCUAGCUGGUCUGAGAGGGUGAUCGGCCACACUGGAACUGAGACACGGUCCAGACUCCUACGGGAGGCAGCAGUAGGGAAUAUUGCGCAAUGGAGGAAACCCUGAUAGAGCCAUGCCGCGUGUGUGAAGAAGGCCUUCGGGUUGUAAAGCUCUUUUGUCGGAGAAGCGUUAUCUAAACAGAAAGCAACGGCUAACUCCGUGCCAGCAGCCGCGGUAAUAC